UGAGGAAUAUUGGUCAAUGGGCGCGAGCCUGAACCAGCCAAGUCGCGUGAGGGAUGACGGCCCUACGGGUUGUAAACCUCUUUUGUCGGGGAGCAAAUUCCGCCACGUGUGGCGGAGUCGAGAGUACCCGAAGAAAAAUGCAUCGGCUAACUCCGUGCCAGCAGCCGCGGUAAUACGGAGGAUGCGAGCGUUAUCCGGAUUUAUUGGGUUUAAAGGGUGCGUAGGCGGACUGUCAAGUCAGCGGUAAAAUACGGGGGCUCAACCUCCGCCCGCCGUUGAAAACUGACGGUCUUGAGUGGGCGAGAAGUAUGCGGAAUGCGUGGUGUAGCGGUGAAAUGCAUAGAUAUCACGCAGAACUCCGAUUGCGAAGGCAGCAUACCGGCGCCCAAACUGACGCUGAAGCACGAAAGCGUGGGUAUCGAACAGGAUUAGAUACC
rnacentral:rRNA from 1 species